UACGUAGGGUGCGAGCGUUAAUCGGAAUUACUGGGCGUAAAGCGUGCGCAGGCGGUUCGCCAAGUCAGGUGUGAAAUCCCCGGGCUUAACCUGGGAACAGCGCUUGAGACUGGGGGGCUUGAGUUCGGGAGAGGUGAGUGGAACUGCGAGUGUAGAGGUGAAAUUCGUAGAUAUUCGCAAGAACACCAGUGGCGAAGGCGGCUCACUGGCCCGGUACUGACGCUGAGGUGCGAAAGCGUGGGGAGCGAACAGG
rnacentral:rRNA from 1 species